rnacentral:rRNA from 1 species
GACGAACGCUGGCGGCGUGCUUAACACAUGCAAGUCGAACGGAAAGGCCCUGCUUUUGUGGGGUGCUCGAGUGGCGAACGGGUGAGUAACACGUGAGUAACCUGCCCUUGACUUUGGGAUAACUUCAGGAAACUGGGGCUAAUACCGGAUAGGAGCUCCUGCUGCAUGGUGGGGGUUGGAAAGUUUCGGCGGUUGGGGAUGGACUCGCGGCUUAUCAGCUUGUUGGUGGGGUAGUGGCUUACCAAGGCUUUGACGGGUAGCCGGCCUGAGAGGGUGACCGGCCGCCCUGGGAGUGGGACACGGCCCAGAGGCCUAGGGGAGGCACCCGUGGGGAAUCGGGGGCAAGGGGCGGAAGACUGAGCCAGCCGGGCGGAGUGCGUGAAGAAGGCCCCCGGGUGGGAAAGCCCGGUUUUUGGGUUAGAAAACCAGUAGGCUUAUACCGAGCUGUUGUGACGGUAACUAAAGAAAAAGCCCCGGCUAACUUCGUG